GGUGGCGUAAUGCUUUAGAGCUUGGCUGCUAACCAAAAGGCUGGUGGUUCAAAUCCACCAGCCACUC
rnacentral:tRNA from 1 species